GCUCCUGACUUCUUUAGAUAAAGAUGUAGACAGAGCUCUCAGUUCCUCCUGGGCCACGGCUGCCUAGAAGCUGUGGUGCUCCUGCCUUGAUGAUAAUGGACUGAACUUCUGAACCCACCCUGGUGGAUGCCCCCACUUACUGUUGUUUCAGUGGAGGAGUUGGGCAUCUUGGGCACCAGGCAGUGAGUGAAAUGGAUCCUUGGGUCUUUGGUGGUGAUAGACAGACCUUUCUGUAAGAUUUUCACCAAGCGGAUCCAGAACCGAAACACAGCCUGUGGAUGUUUCUCAUGGAGCCUCAGGAUCUUCAUUCCUUAGUAAAGACCCGCCGGCCUCUAGGUGUAUGCCUAAAUCCCAACACUUGGGAGCUAAGAGCAGGAGUUCAAGUUCAGCUUGGCUAUGUGACUUUGUCUCAAAAAAUUUUUAAAUAAAAACAAUCUGCCCUCAUC
rnacentral:lncRNA from 1 species